rnacentral:rRNA from 1 species
UACGUGAGGUGCAAGCAUUAAUCGGAUUUAUUGGGCGUAAAGGACGCGUAGGUGGCGAUGCAAGUUGACUGUUAAAUACCUCAGCUCAACUGAGGAAUAGCGGUCAAAACUGCAUGGCUAGAGGGUAGGCGGCGAUAACGGAAUUCCAAGUGUAGCGGUGAAAUGCGUAGAUAUUUGGAAGAACACCGGUGGCGAAAGCGGUUAUCGAGCUUAUACCUGACACUGAGGCGUGAAAGCAAGGGGAGCAAACAGG